rnacentral:lncRNA from 1 species
AUCCGCUAGCUACAUUUUUCUAGAAAGAAAAUAAAACAUCGAAUUAAGAUAACUUUAAGACAGCCCUCACAUCUUCUAUAAGUAUAUAUGCAUUUGGCUCCAAUUUAGGGUGGGGGACACUUUCCUGUUCUUCUAUGAAGGAUUGGUAAAGGGGCUCAAGAACAAGGUUGUCAACCGCUUCUUUCUUUGCCCUUUACCUUGCGGAGCCAAG